ACCUUCAGAAGGCUAGAAGACUAUAGUCCAUAGUUGAAAAACCACCUUGUCCCAUGUUUUGCAAAUAAAGUCCUACUACAACAUAGCCAUAUUUAUUUGUCUACCCACUGCUCAUAUCUAAUUCUUCACAACCACAAAACAUUUGAAUCAUUGACACAGGAACUAUAUGACCCACAAUGCUUAAAAUGUAUCUUGAAAUCAAAAUGCUGGUCUCUGCUUUAGAGGCAUAAUGAAUUGGGAAGCCUGUGGUUCUAUGCCAGUCACUGAAUCAUCAAGGAAAAUGUUCUUUUAGUAAUGGGUAUUUCUAUUCCAUAUACCCAACUGGCUGUAAGGAGAAAGGCAAGAUUCAUAUAUCGUGUGUGUGGGUGUGUGUGUGUGUGACACAGAGAGAGAGAGAGAGAGAACAAAGAGAGAAGGGCCAUAGGCGUGGCAGGAACAGUGAGGAUCAUCACAAAAGCUCCUCUGAUGGGGAAGAAACAGAAACAAUAGGUAAAACAGAAGGCGUUUGAAGGUUCUAGCCUUCAAGUUAGAUGCUUUCAUGUGAUGGGCACUUUCUCUCAUUGCCUCUCCAAUAGUCUACACAAAUAUACUCUAAAAAAUAUUUUCUUUCCUUUAUAAGUUCUACUAUUAAUCAAGUAUAGUCCUAGAAAAUACGUUCUGGUUAUCUAUUUGAUUCUCGUAAGUCAGGUCUUACUAUCUUCAUUCUAUAGGUGAAUAAACCAAGUCAUAUCAAGUCUAAGCAAAUACUCCACGCCUUCUCCGUGGUUGAGCUUGUAGUUAAACUUCUUCAUUUGCUUAGUCCCAGAUCUCCCAUUGUGCCUCACUGCUCAAGAUUUUCUCCCAAACCCAAUGAAAUGUUACACAAGGUUCUGAUAACUGAGAUUUCUAAUUUACUAUGUUAGACCACAGGCUAUCUUGGAGCAAAGAUUUUUCUCUUGUGUUCUCCCACUAAUUACCUACUGAUUCUCUACAAGCUCAGCUCUUUGGAUGAGAGUGAAGGAAAUUUAAAGGAGAGAGAAGAUGAAGUAAGGGAUCUGCCAGGUUCUGGCAUAGAUAGCAGCCCCCAUAAGACUUAUGUUAGGGGAUGAAUUGAUAUGAGUAGAGAAACACAGGAAGCUACUGAAGAAUAACGAAAAGCCACAUUGUUUGAAAAUGGCAGCUGCAAACCUUCCCUCUUGUGUUCCAUAGCUAGUCAGCCAAAUGUAAAUUCCAAGAAAUACAAUCUAGUGUUUAGAAAAUAUGCCUAUUUUUCCACCAAAGCUAUACAAUUUUUCUUGAAGGAGUGAAUCCUGUACCCACUUUAUAAAAUGAUGGUGAUUAAGAUGACUACAAUACACUUCCACUGUUCCUUUCCUUUCAUUAUUUGUAGCACCCUGAUGACAGGUAAUUAUGCUUUGGUGGAUUUUCCUCCUACGUAUAAUUUGGACCACUUAUCUAAGAUGCUCAGAAGGGAGCUGACUUGUCAACUACAGAGAACACCUGCUUUGAUCAAUGUAAAGGAAGCUUCUCCGAGAGUCUUCCCCUCUGCUGGCAACACGCAGCUCUUCUGCAGCCUGAAAUACGGAGUGCUGCACCCAUGAAUUGCCUCUCCAGACAGUGUUUCAUUUAAAAGAAAUCAAGAUUCCUAUGACAUAUCACUUUGUAUUUACAUCAGGAACAAAAGGAGGGUCACGAGUGUGAAAUAACCAAGAGAAGAAUACUGAGAUUUAGUGACAUAGAGUCCUAGAAAUGGACAAACAUACCUAAUGUCCCUUUGCUACUCGGCUACUUAACUCAUACUCUGCCAUUGUGAUUGUUUAUGAAACAGGUCAAGUGAGACUUCAAGACAUGUAUGUCUGUUGGCCACACAUAUUUCUGUGAGUGAAAAUCCUAUGCAGCCUCUUUGGUAUGAAAAGGAGACAAUGGGCAUGGUACUUGCUGUGGCUCAUAAAAAGAGGAUGGUUCUAGGGCUUUAUUAAAACACUAAAUUAUUCUAUUUCUGAUGAGGUCCUGGGAAGCUUCAAAUACAUUUUUACGAGACUAUUUGUUCCUUUUAUGAUCUAUACAAAGACAGUGCAGAUAUUACCUGGUAUUUUAUGGUAUUCUAACAGACAUCAAGAUGCAUUUUGGCAAAUACAACCCUUUGACUUCACUGCAUUCUUGAGAUAAGCAUAAGUGACAAGAAUUCCAAAGAUGUAAAUGCACAGUUGGGGGGGGGCGCAUAGCAGAUCAGCUGAUGGACAGAAAGGAGAUUUGUUUUCCUUUGACCACACUUUGCCACCUUCUUUUGUUUGCCAUGCAUGGGAAUCCUAUUUCCUGGUGGAAAUCAUUGAGGGAAAAAACAGUAACAAGUUCUUUUGCUUAUUCAUAUUUAAAAUGCAUUAGGAUUUUUGCAUCCUAUCUAUUUUUAAGUAUUUAUAAGUAUGUACAACUAUUGAAAUGUACAUGGAUACACUGCAGGUAUAUCAGCAUACACUUCUCAGUCAUUUUCUUAAAAAUUGGAUAUGUCUACACAUCCACCCAGUGGCAACCAGACAUAAAUACAGAACUCACACACUCUUUCCAACUUUUACAGAGAUAAACACCAUCUUGACUUACACCAACAAGAAGUAGCUUUGUCUAGCUGCCUGGGUAUAUAAACUUCCAAUAACUUCCUUUAUUUACAAAUAGGAACAGAAGCACGGAGCCUGGAGCCAUCUCUAUAUUGGCAUGCAACUCUGAAAGAAUAAAGUCCAGACUUUUCUUCUGCUGUGUUUUCACCGGACUGCCUAGCCAGUGGAGAAAACUCAGGACAAGCCUAUCUCUUUUGCACAUUAAAGGAACUUGUGACCAUUUUCAUUAUAAGGAUUAAAUGAGAUUCUCCUUCAAAGUCUUUAUACCAAACCUUUGAUGUUGUUCCUUAUGACCUUUAACGACUCACUUUCUAGGAAAGAAGAUUAAACACAGAACAAAGGAUCUAAGACAAUAGAUAAAUUACAAUCAAGCCUUCAACUAAUUGUCUCUGCUCAGAUCACACUUCUCCGCUGCUAUUGGUUUUGUGUGAAUCAGAAUUCUUCAAAGGAUAAAAACGAAUGUGGUGUGUGUGUGUGUGUGUAUUUCCCCUUCUUCCAGAAAAGGCCAUCUUUCCCUGAGGUCUACCCACACUAGGAAUGCUAAUCUGUUUAACUGGAAGUCAACUGUUCUACGUGCCAGUCUUAUCUAAAGGUUCUACUAUGGCUUGAGUGUGGAUUUUUUUAAUGAAUAUUUUAAAGGCUUGGCCCUCAGUAUGGCGAUGUAAAAGACAAAGAAGCUGUAAGAUGGAGGAGUCACUUAGGUCAAUGGGAGUGCUGCCCUUGGAAAGGAUUGAGACAGUUCUCAGGAAGCACCCUUCCAAUCCUUUCAAGACAGGUGCUGUGGAAGCUGGCAGCAGGCCUCAUCCAGUCUGUCCCUGGCUUCUUGUGCUGAAAUGUGAUCCUUCCCUCCCAUCUAUACCCACACCUAAAACCACAAGCUAUACAGGCAUUUCUUCUUUAUAAAGUUAACUUAUCCUGAGCAUUUCAUUAUGGUAGUGAAAAGCCAACUCAAAUACUUUCAAAGAAAUAUUUAGAAAAAUACUUGACUAGAUACCCAAUGGCUUAGCCAAGCUAACAGAUAAAACUAACCAUCAAAAGUAUGUAUCACAUGCUUUCUCCUAGGGGUUUUUCUGAUCUUGUCUUCACUUGAUUGGUUGAUUGAUUGCUAAUUAAAUUAGCAGGCAUUAAUGCUAGUAAAUAAGCUCCUAAGGCAGGGAGAUAGUCAAUACAGCAAUACAUGUUUAUUCAAGUGUCAAUAAAGCCAUAUUCUGCACAAAGUAUGCAAUCUUAAUAUCGUGUCAAAGCACAAACAACAGAGAAUCAUUUUAGGACCACAUAGAACAAUAUUAAUAAUAAUAAUAACAAUAAUAAUAAAUAAUUUAACCUAUCUUACUGAACUUUUUCUUGAUUUUAGGAAAUAUAAAGGGAUUUUGGUCUGCCCUAUUCAUAGCCCAACAGAAAUUCCAAGUUGACUACAGAGCUUCAUAAACUGAGAUUCUAACUCAUUUCUUUAUUUCUGCAGUAAUAGUAGGCAUAAACAAUUUGCUUACAGACAAUACCUCCUGCUUCUGUAAAAUUAAACAGCAAAUCUGGCUUGUACAGGGAAUUUAAUAACUGGCUACUAAGUUAUGUAUAAUACUAAGUAUGGCUACUACAUAUGUAUAAUAAGCAUAUAAUAAAGUCUACAUAAUUUAUCAAAAUGACAAAGCAAUAUAUCACUUAUAAGAACAGAAAGUAUGUAUAGUAUAAAAAUAAAAAUAGAUAAUUAUAAGGAACAGAGAAAAAUCCCACCUAAUACAAUAAAAACUGAGUGUGUUUCCAUAUGAAGAAGCUGUAUGAUAAGAGCUAGGGUCUCUGAAGCAACAGCAGGCUAACAUUUCAAAGAUAGUAUUUAG